rnacentral:lncRNA from 1 species
AUUUUUUUUCUCCUUUUUUCUUUUUUUUUUCUUGGUGAUAAUUAAUAUGCUAUCAUAUAUUAACAUUCGUGCACUCCAGAAAGAGUGGUUUCUUUGUAGUUACAAUCCGCCGUUGUUAGUUAUGCAUAAUCAAUUAAUUUUGAGAAAUACCAUAAAGUAGUAUUAAAACACUUUAUUAUUUCAAAAAUUAACACACAAAAUAACCAAAAUACCAUUACAUAAAAGUUAAAAAUACAUUUUAUUUUAUAUUUGGAUUUGGGGUUAUUUAUUACAGUUUAUAAUUUAAUAUUUAGGUUGUGACUGAAAAGUCUAUAUGAC